GCAGCAGGAACUGGCUCUAAAAGUGCAGACUGCAGCGUAUCAUACAUUCUGCAGAAAAGGUGAUUGGCUGCAGCCUUCCUUCUCUCCCAGAACUCUACUCCUCCAGAACCCUG